AUAAUGCAACAGAGGUUAUGCAUUAUGUUCAUUAAGUAAUCAAUUAUAAUGUGCAUGCAGGGUGAUUUUAUCUUUGUAUUGGGUUUGGGUGGUGGGUAGCAUAAUAAUUUUCCAAAUUAUCUAAAGUUUAGUUUGUAUUAAAGAACUUUCUGAAGUUUUUACUUGUUUUUGUUUAUAGGUUGCUUCCUAUGAGUUUACCACCUUAACUUGCAUCCCAGGUGUCAUCACAUAUCGUGGAGCUAAAAUCCAGUCUCGCAUCUUUAGUUCUCUGCUCGCCGUCACCUCCGUCCUCCGCUGCACCUCCGUCGCAGUCCAUUCCUCUCUCUUUCUUCGACCACUCACUCUGUCUACAUCUGUGCUAGGGUUCACAUUUGUUUGGUAUCUAUCUCUGCAAGUGCCUCUCUCGUCCUCAUUGCGUUUCACAUUCUCUGCCAGG